AUACGGAUGGUGCGAGCGUUGUUCGGAAUUACUGGGCGUAAAGGGCGCGUAGGCGGCGAUGUAAGUCAAAUGUGAAAGUCCUCGGCUUAACCGGGGAAGUGCAUCUGAAACUGCAUUGCCUGAGUAUGGGAGAGGAAAGUGGAAUUCCCGGUGUAGAGGUGAAAUUCGUAGAGAUCGGGAGGAAUACCGGUGGCGAAGGCGACUUUCUGGACCAAUACUGACGCUGAGGCGCGAAAGCGUGGGGAGCAAACAGGAUUAGAAACCCGAGAGUCC
rnacentral:rRNA from 1 species